rnacentral:antisense_RNA from 1 species
UUGAGACAGGGUCUGGCUCUGUCGCCUAGGCUGGAAUCAGUGGUGCGAGGCUCACUGCAACCUCCGCCUCCCAAGUUCAGUGGAUUCUCCCGUCUCAGCCUCCUGAGUAGCUGAGAUUACAGGCAUGUGCCACCAUGCCCAACUAAUUUCUGUAUUUCUAGAAGUGACUGGGUUUUGCCUUGGUGCCCAGGCUGGUCUCGAACUCCUGGCCUCAAGUGAUCUGCCCACCUCAGCCACUCUAAGUGCUGAGAUUACAGGUGUGAGGCACCGUAAUGCACCAGAUUUGGCAGAUUCUGACUGGUUAAUUUUUAUACCUUGACAGGCACUAACCACUAAGACCUGAGUCAUCAUAUACUUUAAACUAUCUACAUUUAAAUUUCCUUCUUGAAUUGGUUAUUAGGAAAAUGUCCAACUCCUUAGUCCUACUUUCUGUCUACAAAUAAAGAGCCUAAGCCACCAUGCCUGGCCCAGCCCAGCAUUUUUUUAAAAAGUGAAAACAUGCAUGUGGUAAAGACGGGGGAAAAAUAAAACUGUAAA